GCAAAACAGGCAGUGUAUUUACUUUGCUCGUUAACAACUUAUCAACAAAAAUUGCAUUGUGUUGUUCCAUAAAUUAUUUUAAUUAAUUUUUCAUAAACGAGCCAAGUCCACGAAUUCUCCUUAUUAAAAUAUUACUGUGCGAGUUACUGUUACUCAAAUGUAAUUGGACUAGGUGCAGAAAAUAAUCGUCACGUAAAGGGUUAACGUAAACUGGAAUUUCGUAUUUAAAAUGUUUUCUCGCAGCGAAAACAGGCGUGACAAAUCCCUGGUAGUUGAUUUGAAACGGUAUUAGCGGGCCACCGAGGACUAUCGAUUUCGUUUUAAUAUUGAUCCCAACGACGAGGUCACGGACCCGAUUUCGCCGUUCAGUAUUCGUCUCUGCGAAACCAUUUUCGUUUACAUCCAGUUAAAAAUCUCACGAUCUCUACGUAAAAGGGGUAAAUUCGCGCAAAAAGAUACGCCUCGACUGGAAAUCGCAGUCACAUGAUUCUCACGUUGGCAGUCACAUGAUAAUCAUGUAAGUCCCAUCCCGUGAGUAGGGGGGCGUGGCACAACCACGGUACAAUCGUGCUUCAUGCUACUCAGUUUCUGCUUCUUAUCAUUGUUAUUGAGGUGUCUCUUCGUUCGAACGAAUGGACCAUGAAUAUUAUUCAAUUACGUUUAACGCAAGGGGAUAUCACGUAGAAACGUUCAGAGAUUUACAAAUAAUAAUUACAUAGGUUUCGAAAUAAAAUCAUCGGGACGGAAGUUUUCGACAUUUUCCUCGUUGGAUAUUCCAUCACUGAAAAGUACACGAGAUUAUUUAUCUCUCGUUAAACAUCACCACUAAACAGUAACUGUCAAGUGCAGAAAAUGCUCAUUCCAGCAGAACGAUUAUAUUUUAAAGCAAACAUAUUACAGGCGAUACUACAAUAAAUAAUCGCAGUAGAUACCAUCUGCAACAACUAUUUUUUAAUUAAAAUUACUGAAUGAAUGGUUAAUAAACGAUGAUUAAUCCA